AUACGUAGGGUGCGAGCGUUGUCCGGAAUUACUGGGCGUAAAGAGCUCGUAGGUGGUUUGUCGCGUCGUCUGUGAAAUUCCGGGGCUUAACUCCGGGCGUGCAGGCGAUACGGGCAUAACUUGAGUACUGUAGGGGAGACUGGAAUUCCUGGUGUAGCGGUGAAAUGCGAAGAUAUCAGGAGGAACACCGGUGGCGAAGGCGGGUCUCUGGGCAGUAACUGACGCUGAGGAGCGAAAGCAUGGGUAGCGAACAGGAUUAGAUACCCUGGUAGUCCAUGCCGUAAACGGUGGGCGCUAGGUGUAGGGGUCUUCCACGACUUCUGUGCCGUAGCUAACGCAUUAAGCGCCCCGCCUGGGGAGUACGGCCGCAAGGCUAAAACUCAAAUGAAUUGGCGGGG
rnacentral:rRNA from 1 species